GACGAACGCUGGCGGCGUGCUUAACACAUGCAAGUCGAACGAUGAAGCUGGAGCUUGCUCUGGCGGAUUAGUGGCGAACGGGUGAGUAACACGUGAGAAAUCUGCCCUUGACUCUGGGAUAACUGCGGGAAACUGUAGCUAAUACCGGAUACUUUCCCUGGUGGGCAUCCACUGGGGAAGAAAGAAUUUCGGUCAAGGAUGAUCUCGCGGCCUAUCAGCUUGUUGGGGAGGUAAUGGCUCACCAAGGCGACGACGGGUAGCCGGCCUGAGAGGGUGACCGGCCACACUGGGACUGAGACACGGCCCAGACUCCUACGGGAGGCAGCAGUGGGGAAUAUCGCACAAUGGGCGCAAGCCUGAUGCAGCAACGCCGCGUGAGGGAUGAAGGCCUUCGGGUUGUAAACCUCUUUUAGCAGGGAAGAAGCGAAAGUGACGGUACCUGCAGAAAAAGCACCGGCUAACUACGUGCCAGCCGCCGCAGUAA
rnacentral:rRNA from 1 species